rnacentral:rRNA from 1 species
GGAUUAGAUACCCUGGUAGUCCACGCCCUAAACGAUGUCAACUAGCUGUUGGGGCCUUCGGGCCUUGGUAGCGCAGCUAACGCGUGAAGUUGACCGCCUGGGGAGUACGGUCGCAAGAUUAAAACUCAAAGGAAUUGACGGGGACCCGCACAAGCGGUGGAUGAUGUGGAUUAAUUCGAUGCAACGCGAAAAACCUUACCUACCCUUGACAUGUCUGGAAUCCCGAAGAGAUUUGGGAGUGCUCGCAAGAGAACCGGAACACAGGUGCUGCAUGGCUGUCGUCAGCUCGUGUCGUGAGAUGUUGGGUUAAGUCCCGCAACGAGCGCAACCCUUGUCAUUAGUUGCUACGAAAGGGCACUCUAAUGAGACUGCCGGUGACAAACCGGAGGAAGGUGGGGAUGACGUCAAGUCCUCAUGGCCCUUAUGGGUAGGGCUUCACACGUCAUACAAUGGUCGGGACAGAGGGUCGCCAACCCGCGAGGGGGAGCCAAUCCCAGAAACCCGAUCGUAGUCCGGAUCGCAGUCUGCAACUCGACUGCGUGAAGUCGGAAUCGCUAGUAAUCGCGGAUCAGCAUGUCGCGGUGAAUACGUUCCCGGGUCUUGUACACACCGCCCGUCACACCAUGGGAGUGGGUUUUACCUGAAGUAGUUAGCCUAACCGCAAGGAGGGCGAUUACCACGGUAGGAUUCAUGACUGGGGUGAAGUCGUAACAAGGUAGC